AACGAACGCUGGCGGCAUGCCUAACACAUGCAAGUCGAACGAGACCUUCGGGUCUAGUGGCGCACGGGUGCGUAACGCGUGGGAACCUGCCCUUAGGUUCGGAAUAACUCCCCGAAAGGGGUGCUAAUACCGGAUAAUGUCUUCGGACCAAAGAUUUAUCGCCUUUGGAUGGGCCCGCGUUGGAUUAGCUAGUUGGUAGGGUAAAAGCCUACCAAGGCGACGAUCCAUAGCUGGUCUGAGAGGAUGAUCAGCCACACUGGGACUGAGACACGGCCCAGACUCCUACGGGGGGCAGCAGGGGGGAAUAUUGGAAAAGGGGCGAAAGCCUGACCCAGCAAUGCCGGGGGAGUGAUGAAGGCCUUAGGGUUGUAAAGCUCUUUUCCCCGGGAUGAUAAUGACAGUACCGGGAGAAGAAGCCCCGGCUAACUCCGU
rnacentral:rRNA from 1 species